AGCGAUGUAGCCUAACGGUAAGGCAAAGCAUGAAUGCAGGUUCAACUCCUGCCAUCGCUA
rnacentral:tRNA from 1 species